rnacentral:rRNA from 1 species
UUGCACGCUGGCGGCAUGCUUUACACAUGCACGUCGAACGGCAGCGCGGGCUUCGGCCUGGCGGCGAGUGGCGAACGGGUGAGUAAUGCAUCGGAACGUGCCCAGUAGUGGGGGAUAGCCCGGCGAAAGCCGGAUUAAUACCGCAUACGACCUGAGGGUGAAAGCGGGGGACCGAAAGGCCUCGCGCUAUUGGAGCGGCCGAUGUCGGAUUAGCUAGUUGGUGGGGUAAAGGCUUACCAAGGCGACGAUCCGUAGCUGGUCUGAGAGGACGACCAGCCACACUGGGACUGAGACACGGCCCAGACUCCUACGGGAGGCAGCAGUGGGGAAUUUUGGACAAUGGGGGCAACCCUGAUCCAGCCAUGCCGCGUGCGGGAAGAAGGCCUUCGGGUUGUAAACCGCUUUUGUUCGGGAAGAAAUCCUCUGGGCUAAUACCCCGGGGGGAUGACGGUACCGGAAGAAUAAGCACCGGCUAACUACGUG